rnacentral:rRNA from 1 species
GACGAACGCUGGCGGCGUGCUUAACACAUGCAAGUCGAACGGAAAGGCCCCCUUGUGGGGUACUCGAGUGGCGAACGGGUGAGUAACACGUGAGUAACCUACCCUUGACUUUGGGAUAACUUCAGGAAACUGGGGCUAAUACCGGAUAGGAGCUCCUGCUGCAUGGGGGGGGUUGGAAAGUUUCGGCGGUUGGGGAUGGACUCGCGGCUUAUCAGCUUGUUGGUGGGGUAGUGGCUCACCAAGGCUUUGACGGGUAGCCGGCCUGAGAGGGUGACCGGCCACAUUGGUACUGAGAGACGGCCCAGACUCCAACGGGAGGCAGCAGUGGGGAGUAUUGCACAAUGGGCGGAAGCCUGAUGCAGCAACGCCGCGUGCGGGAUGACGGCCUUCGGGUUGUAAACCGCUUUCGCCUGUGACGAAGCGUGAGUGACGGUAAUGGGUAAAGAAGCACCGGCUAACUACGUG